AAAUCAUGAUUUGGGCUUUUCCGCAAAUAAUCCUCGAAUCUCUCCCAUACUUCAUAUAAUUGUUCCCUCGGUCGCCGCCUAAAGUCAUAGAUCUUGUCCCGAAUUU